rnacentral:tRNA from 1 species
NAGGAAGUGGUGUAGUGGAAACACGUAGAGUUUUGAUCUCUAAAAUACAGGUUCGAGUCCUUUUUUUCUA